rnacentral:rRNA from 1 species
UACAGAGGGUGCGAGCGUUAAUCGGAAUUACUGGGCGUAAAGCGCGCGUAGGCGGCUUUGCAAGUCGGGUGUGAAAUCCCCAGGCUUAACCUGGGAACUGCAUUCGAGACUGCAUUGCUAGAGUAUGGGAGAGGGAAGUGGAAUUUCCGGUGUAGCGGUGAAAUGCGUAGAUAUCAGGAAGAACACCCGUGGCUAAGGCGGCUCUCUAGUACGGUACUGACGCUGAGACGCGAAAGCGUGGGGAGCGAACAGG